rnacentral:rRNA from 1 species
UACGAAGGGGGCUAGCGUUGUUCGGAAUUACUGGGCGUAAAGCGCGUGUAGGCGGAUUGGUAAGUCAGAUGUGAAAUCCCUUGGCUCAACCAAGGAACUGCAUUUGAUACUGUCAAUCUUGAGUGUCGGAGGGGAUGGCGGAAUUCCUGGUGUAGAGGUGAAAUUCGUAGAUAUCAGGAGGAACACCUGUGGCGAAGGCGGCCAUCUGGAAGACAACUGACGCUGAGACGCGAAAGCGUGGGUAGCAAACAGG